rnacentral:snoRNA from 1 species
GCGCCGCCGGCCAAGCAGCGGUGCUACAGCGAAGGCUUGUUCAUAACUGGGGCCGCUCGGCACCUCCCGGGCGGCGCUUUUAAAAACAAGUGACAUUU